CCUACGGGAGGCAGCAGUAAGGAAUAUUGGUCAAUGGGCGCAAGCCUGAACCAGCCAUGCCGCGUGCAGGAUGACGGCCCUCUGGGUUGUAAACUGCUUUUAUACGGGAAGAACAGCAUCUACGUGUAGGUGUUUGACGGUACUGUAAGAAUAAGGACCGGCUAACUUCGUGCCAGCAGCCGCGGUAAUACGAAGGGUCCAAGCGUUAUCCGGAUUUAUUGGGUUUAAAGGGUGCGUAGGCGGCUUUUUAAGUCAGUGGUGAAAGCCUGAUGCUCAACAUCAGAACUGCCAUUGAUACUGAAGAGCUUGAGUACAGUUGAGGUUGGCGGAAUGUGUCAUGUAGCGGUGAAAUGCUUAGAUAUGACACAGAACACCGAUUGCGAAGGCAGCUAGCUAAGCUGUUACUGACGCUGAUGCACGAAAGCGUGGGGAGCAAACAGGAUUAGAUACCCUGGUAGUCCACGCCCUAAACGUUGAUAACUCGUUGUUAGCGAUAUACUGUUAGCGACCAAGCGAAAGNAUAUUAUCACCUGGAGAGUCGCGAGAGUAGAACGUACAAUAGAGUUAGUAGGACGUGAGACGNGCGACGGACGACGACGAGGGGAGGAGG
rnacentral:rRNA from 1 species